CAGGGAUUGCCCUAGUAACGGCGAGUGAAGCGGCAACAGCUCAAAUUUGAAAUCUGGCCCUCGGGUCCGAGUUGUAAUUUGUAGAGGAUGCUUUUGGCGCGGUGCCUUCCGAGUUCUCUGGAACGAGACGCCUUAGAGGGUGAGAGCCCCGUACGGUUGGACACUAAGCCUCUGUAAAGCUCCUUCGACGAGUCGAGUAGUUUGGGAAUGCUGCUCUAAAUGGGAGGUAAAUUUCUUCUAAAGCUAAAUAUUGGCCAGAGACCGAUAGCGCACAAGUAGAGUGAUCGAAAGAUGAAAAGCACUUUGAAAAGAGGGUUAAAUAGUACGUGAAAUUGUUGAAAGGGAAGCGUUUGCGACCAGACCUUUUCUUAGCGGAUCAUCCGGUGUUCUCACCGGUGCACUUCGCUAGGUUUAGGCCAGCAUCGGUUUCUGUAGGGGGAUAAAAGCCCUGGGAAUGUAGCUCCCUCGGGAGUGUUAUAGCCCUCUGCAUAAUACCCUUACAGGGACCGAGGACCGCGCUUCGGCAAGGAUGCUGGCGUAAUGGUCGUCAACGACCCGUCUUGAAACACGGACCAAGGAGUCGAACAUUUGUGCGAGUGUUUGGGUGCUAAACCCUCACGCGUAAUGAAGGUGAACGGAGGUGAGAGCCCCUAGGGGUGCAUCAUCGACCGAUCCUGAUGUCUUCGGAUGGAUUUGAGUAAGAGCAUAACUGUUCGGACCCGAAAGAUGGUGAACUAUGCGUGGAUAGGGUGAAGCCAGAGGAAACUCUGGUGGAGGCUCGCAGCGGUUCUGACGUGCAAAUCGAUCGUCAAAUCUGCGCAUGGGGGCGAAAGACUUAUCGAACCAUCUAGUAGCUGGUUACCGCCGAAGUUUCCCUCAGAUAGCAGUGUUGUUCUUCAGUUUUAUGAGGUAAAGCGAAUGAUUAGGGACUCGGGGGCGCUUUUUAGCCUUCAUCCAUUCUCAAACUUUAAAUAUGUAAGAAGCCCUUGUUGCUUAAUUGAACGUGGCAUUCGAAUGUACCAACACUAGUGGCCAUUUUUGGUAAGCAGAACUGGCGAUGCGGGAUGACGAACGCGGGGUAAGGUGCCGGAGUGGACGCUCAUCAGAAACCACAAAAGUGUAGCACAUUUAGACAAAUAGACGUGCAUGCAGUCGAUCGCUAGACUGGUGUACACCUCACCCUAUCGAAUGUGCUUAGCCUGACG
rnacentral:rRNA from 1 species